UCCCAGAGGAGGAGGAGCCCGCACUUUCAUUCUGAUCUUUUUCAAACUGGACUUCCUCUCUAUCUGAUCUUUUUUCAAAGUGGAUUUCUCAUUUAGACUUAUCACCAUUAGAACUUCAGAGAACUGAUUAUGUCAACGUAGACACAAUAUAGGAUAUAACUUGCUGCAUUAUCAGUAUGCGUGUAGUUGGUCCAUCCAGCCAGGAAACCAAAUAAGAACACUUGUCAUGUAUGCAAGUAAAAUUAUGAAAGACAGAUUAUCAGUAUACGUGUAGUUGGCUAAUAUAGUCAAAGCAACAAGGACAAUUUAUAUUUGGAAGACAGAUUCAAAACUGGACCAUUGUAGGAACUGAGAAGGCAUGCCAUUCUGAAUAAAAAUUAGCACAUACAUGUCUUUGAGAGAAGAUGUGAUGGCUGCAACCUGCAGGUUCUGAUGUUUACGUUGUCUUCCCAAAAAAGCUUUAUUUGACAAAACAGGUAAUGUUAGUAGUAAAACAGAAGCAAACACUAAGACAGAAAUUUCUUACAAAGCAGCAACAUUUCUCCAUUAGUUAACUCAGGUCUAAUCGGAGCAGAGGAAGCCAAGCUUUGUGGAACAAUCACUCGAUUGCUUCCUGCUUCCAUAGUCGAAGAGGAAAUGCAUGACACCGGUGGGGAAUGAGUAGGUUGUCAGAUUCAACGCGCGUAGGGAGGGUGGCUGCCGUCAGAAAUGUCGCGGAAUCGACAGAGCACGUGGUGAAGGAUCUCGAUGAGGUACACAGCGGUGGUCGUGGAAAUCCCAAUUUGGGUUAGAGUAAUUAGGCUAUGUAAAACGGUUACCUGGAGAGGAUUUGGGCAUCGCUGAACUCCUUCGUCUUGCCGCCGCUCGCAAUCGUCACUGCAAAACAACACCGCCGCAUCUGGGACGGGUGGCCUUCCCCAGCUCCCGAUCUGGCCGGGACCAUUCCGGCACGUCCGAGAACGCGGCGUCCACCACGCUGACGGCGACAUGGCUGGGAGAGCAGGCGGAGGGACCGGCAGCUAUGGACCGGAGGUGCGCGGAUCAGCGUGGCGGCGGUGUGUUAGGAGAGCGGCGGCGGCUAGGUCGAUCCAGGCUUCGGCUUCGGCAAGAUGUGGCGGGCAGCGGAUGAGAGGCGCGAUGGAGGGUUAGGAGAGAAGAGAUUUGAGAAGAGAUGCGGGCUUCCUCCGUGGGGAGCGGCAAUGAAUCGGGGGCACGGGGGCGGAGCUGCGGAGGGCUCCGGUUUUUUUCCUCUGAUUGGUUUUUCUUUCGCGUGCGAGGGAGGCAGACGAGGGAGGAGGAGGA
rnacentral:lncRNA from 1 species